UACACUUUCUCUCCUCAUUAUGUUUACACAUAAAGUGCGGUGCAGAAUCAUCAAGAAAUGAGUGUGUAGAAACCAUCUCAGGCCUACAACUUUGUAUACAAAGUUUGAUAAUUCAACCUUGAGAAAAAGAUCUAUAGCCUUCUACAAUCAUAUAUGUUUAAAUUGUCAACCAGAAAGAACUCUCUCUAAAUCUUUGCAUAUGAUAUAACCUAUACAUGUUGAUUUAAAUGAAGGUAAGAGAAACACACCCAGGAAGUCGAUUAUGAGUCUUCCAUCAGAGAAUCUUCCGGCUGACAUAUGGAAAUAGGUCUCUCCAUAAGGUGCGGGUAAUGGUGGAAAGGCUGCAACCAGUCCACCAGUAUCUGAAUUCGAGUCUCCGAAGUUGAAGAUGGCUGGAAACUCGCAGUCUUUCAAAGCCAAUGUAGUGGUCACAGUACUACCGGUAGUAAGCAAUAUAAGCAUAUAGGAGCAAAACAGAGAAAUAACUACUCCAGUAGAGUACACCAUGGUCGAGAUUGGAGAAAGACCAAAAGAUGCAGAUUAGAACUAAGCUGUGUUUGUUGUAUAUAGUGUAAUGAAAGGUGCAAUUUCCUUCAAUUGUACUUCUCGGAGGCAUUUUCUUGUGUCAACGCCGUAUUGUUUAAGGCGUUGGCUGAAACGCAUAAAGCAACAAGAUGACCAAGAACCUCUGAACAGACAUGCCGAUGGCGAUGGCGAUGAGAACUAAUUAAGCUGCAUGUGUGUUGGUACAAAAAUUGUUGGCUAUCCCUUUAUGAUCAAAACACAAGGAUACAUGCUACAUGUUGUAGCCUGGUAGCAAGGACUGCUAAAGUGAAGUAUGAAGAAUCUGACAGAUCUCAUGUGCAUCAGGUAGUUCAUACAUGUUGUAGCCUGGUAGCAAGGACUGCUAAAGUGAAGUAUGAAGAAUUUGACAGAUCUCAUGUGCAUCAGGUAGUUCAUACAUGUUGUAGCCUGGUAGCAAGGACUGCUAAAGUGAAGUAUGAAGAAUCUGACAGAUCUCAUGUGCAUCAGGUAGUUCAUACAUGUGCAUCUCAUUCACUAAGGAUGGCAGCCGUGCUUGCCAUCCGGAUUAGACGGAUACCCCUGUUGUAUCUGUUCUAUCUACUGGGUCUGACCAUGUGCAUAUUCAAAUGUGUUUUUAAGUGUUUGAAUUUCAAAUACCUUUAGCAAAACAUUAGUCUAUUCGUGCUUGAGCUCCAAGUUAGUCUAGGGUGGUGUGGCAAACCAACCCGUGACCACAUAACUUGAGCCUUUGGGAACCAGCUGGGUUUUGUGAUACACAAACCAAGUUAGUAGCUGCCCAUGUGAUGCACCGCCUAAGCUAUCAGCUGUCCUAAGUGUCCUCUUAGGUAAAGUGGUUUUGUAGAGCCUUUAUGCUUGACUAAAUCUGAUCUAGUUUUUCCAAAACCUUUUGUCUUAUCCUUUUGGCUUUAGUCUUUCAUAGGAAAGUCUAUUCUCAGCUUUUGUCUUGUGAGUGGAGGGAUCCCUAGGGUCCUAUCUGUCCUAGUAUUUCAGACAAGCAGCUAGAGUCCAAAAGAACCUUGUUGAUGUGGCAAACGUGCUUGCUUCCUCAUAGCUGUGCACUUUGCCUAUAAAUAGAGAGCAAGACCUCUCUUGCUCUUUGGUUGUUGAAAAUAGUCUUGUUUGUUUUCUUCCAUUGAGUCUAGCAUUUGCUAACUGCCCAUAUAUCUCUAAGUCUUCCCUGUGAUUGUCAAUCUUAGAGCUGAGCACCAAAAUCUUUUCAAACUCAUAUCAUUGUGCAUUUGCAUACCUUGAGAUCUGUCUAGGUGAUGCAACAACCCCGGCGAAGCUGUCUUUGAGAAUUAGCUAAAGGUGUUAGUUGAAUUCUGCAUAGAAGCUUAGAUUCGUGUUAUGUGUAAAACACUUGAGUGACAAGAGAGCAAGUUUUAGUUGAGUGCUAGGAGUUAGACUAGGCAGUAUGGCUAGGUGUUGUGUCAUCCUCUGAGUUGUGAGUAUUGUAAGAAGUGUCUUUACAAUAGUGGAAUAGUUUGUCUCUCAAGAGUUUGAGGCACGCAGUUUUCUCCCUGGUUGCAGGGUUUAUGCGUAUAAAAACGUACUGGUGUUAUAUCUUUACUUUCAGUACUUGUCUUUUUAUUUACAUAACUUAGUCUCACAGCAAACAUGAUAGCACAAUCUUUGCUAUCCUUGUGUGCGGGAUAGAGACGAAAAAGUUGUCAGGGCCUAUUCACCCCCCCCCCCCCCUUCUAGGACCUUCAAUGUGUUUCUAGAACAGUGUUCAUUUGGUCAAAUUUUCGCCGACCACGUGUGGACGACUAUCACCGAGCUACUGCAGCCACAGAACAUUAGUCAAUGUCUCAUCCUACUUCGAUAAUUUCAUUUUCAGGCUCAAACGUAUGGCUUCCAUUACUUACCUCUCAGUUUACAGUGAACUCUCUCUUCAGAGAUUGUGAAUUAAUCUUCUGUUGUAAAACAAAAGUAAAAGAGUGAGAAAGGAGAGAAACAACCAACAGAAUGAGAGAAUAUAUGUGUAUUAUUGAGUAGGGAACCAUUGCUUAUAUAGAGAUGAGGCCAUGAUGUAAAUUACAAUAACAACCCUAGUCGGCUAAUUACAAGAAUGUCCACUAAGUAAUAACUAUUUACAACACUCCCCCUUGUUAUUCUCUGUCAUUAGCUUUCCCUAAUAUGUGCUUCGGUGUUACCUCGUCAACCAGUAAUAAAAACCCUAUGGGACAAAAACAAUCCUGGUUGAAGGAGAAAAUAAUACAACGCACAAGUAGCAGUGAUAGUCAGAACCCUUGAUUUCGGUGAAGCGGUUUAAUCUAGAUCAUAAGAUGUGAGUUUGUGGGAGAUAGAUGCAUAAUAGUUGCUACACCAAAACCUUGCCCGGUAAACCCAGUGGGAUAAACCCGUGGUCGAAGGGAAAAGAUGAGCAAAUGCAUAUAUUUCAAAUAAAGGCAUCUUCAAGAUGCAACAUGAGAAAGGUGACCAAUUACAUAUGUGCCUCAUUAAAACCUUGUCAGGUAACAAACCCAGUUGAACAAAAUAACCCUGGACGAAGGACAAAAAGAGUACACAAUAGUCAAGAGUAUGCUUCAGGAUACUCCCCCUAAUAUUAACUCCCCCUGAAAACUACACGCUAGGUAAAACUACUACAUUGAUUAUGCUUCUUGAAUAACUUAAUAGUCAGCAUAAUUUAAAAAGUAACGGAAAAUUUAACUUAACCUUUCCGUUGACUGAACCAACAAAGAUUUGGCUUCCAUUGACUGUGAUUGUUGUUCCAC
rnacentral:lncRNA from 1 species